ACGGGAGGCAGCAGUAGGGAAUAUUGCACAAUGGGGGGAACCCUGAUGCAGCAACGCCACGUGUGGGAAGAAGCAUUUCGGUGUGUAAACCACUGUCGUGAGGGAAUAAUGCUUGGCUCCGGCCAAGUUGAAUGUACCUCGAAAGGAAGCACCGGCAAACUUCGUGCCAGCAGCCGCGGUAAUACGAGGGGUGCAAGCGUUGUUCGGAAUCACUGGGCGUAAAGGGAGCGUAGGCGGAGACGCAAGCAGUCUGUACAAUACCGGGGCCCAACCCCGGACCUGCAGACUGGACUGUGUCUCUCGGAUAGUUCAGGGGCAGGCGGAAUUCCUGGUGUAGCGGUGGAAUGCGUAGAGAUCAGGAAGAACACCGAUGGCGAAGGCAGCCUGCUGGGGACUCAUCGACGCUGAGGCUCGAAAGUGCGGGUAGCAAACAGGAUUAGACACCCUGGUA
rnacentral:rRNA from 1 species